AGAUUUUGGUUCCCUUGUGUUGAUUCAUACUCUGAGUUGUGUACCUGGAAAUUAGAAUUUACAGUCGAUGCUGCGAUGGUGGCUGUGUCCAAUGGAGAUUUGGUGGAGACAGUGUAUACUCACGACAUGAGAAAGAAGACCUUCCAUUAUGUGCUUGCUAUUCCUACAGCAGCGUCCAAUAUCUCCUUGGCCAUCGGGCCAUUUGAAAUACUUGUAGAUCCAUAUAUGCACGAGGUUACCCAUUUUUGUUUGCCUCAACUUCUUCCAUUACUUAAACAUACUACAUCAUACCUUCACGAAGUUUUUGAAUUUUAUGAGGAAAUUUUGACUUGUCGCUAUCCGUACUCCUGUUUUAAGACGGUCUUCAUUGAUGAGGCUUAC
rnacentral:lncRNA from 1 species